rnacentral:rRNA from 1 species
AACGCUGGCGGCGUGCCUAACACAUGCAAGUCGAACGGAGAUUUAGCGCUGAUGAAGCUUCGGCAGAAUCUUGUUAAAUCUUAGUGGCGGACGGGUGAGUAACGCGUGGGCAACCUGCCUCAUACUGGGGGAUAGCAGUUGGAAACGACUGAUAAUACCGCAUAAGCGCACAGAGUCGCAUGACUCAGUGUGAAAAACUCCGGUGGUAUGAGAUGGGCCCGCGUCAGAUUAGCUAGUUGGUAAGGUAACGGCUUACCAAGGCGACGAUCUGUAGCCGGACUGAGAGGUCGGACGGCCACAUUGGGACUGAGACACGGCCCAAACUCCUACGGGAGGCAGCAGUGGGGGAUAUUGCACAAUGGAGGAAACUCUGAUGCAGCGACGCCGCGUGAAGUGAAGAAGUAUUUCGGUAUGUAAAGCUCUAUCAGCAGGGAAGAAAGACUCGUAAGAGAGAUGACGGUACCUGACUAAGAAGCCCCGGCUAACUACGUGCCAGCAGCAGC